CUGUAGUUUAAUGCGGACACUUUAAGUUUAAAUUAACUUCUGUAGUUUCUUGCAGAAGCAAGCUUUGUCAUAAUCAGUGGAUGAAUGAACUCCCAACAUGUCCUUGGCUGUAGGACUUUUCCGCUGCUGGAGACCAACAAAGACAGAACCAAUACACAUGGUGAAUGAUCAGGAGUAUUUUAUCAGUAAUGGAGACGGAAAUGACGGGAUCAAAAGAGUAAGAAUAAGGAGGAAUUCCGUGUCACAGGAUUUCUGGAACUGUGGAGUAAAUUUUUUGGAUGCCUGGUCAGUGUCAGAGCGCAUGGGGAACACACUUCGUGAAUCUGUUUAUGUGUGAGUGACACUAACCAGCCGGUCACAGCCACACAGUAACCUCUGAAACAGUUAACAGUCCUGGAGAAGGAUGCCUUCCCUGCAUCAUGGAGCAAUCUUCACCGGAGCCUUCCUCAUUGUGACUGGGGGGUCCACAGCCUUCCUGACUUCAUCCCAGAGUCGCCUGCAGGCUUUCUCCCUCUGCUGUGUGGUGCUGGGGGUGGUCAUGCUCAUCCUUGGGUUAUUUUGGGCUAUGAACAGCAAAAGUGCUGCUAAUUACAACCACAGCGAGUACGACCAAGAGUGCCCGCAUUAUUCGUACGAGUACACCAACUACCCCGGCCAAGCCUACUUCACUUCCCCAGGGAAUCGGUUCCCAGAGUCCCAGUCAGUGUUUCUGCCCAGGACGAUGGAGCGCCACAGGCAUGCUGCUCGAGGUGAAGAUUUCGACUACCCCCCAAUGAUUAUGGAAUCUGGUGGUUUCAGUCCAACGCCUCAUCCUCCUCCAUGGCUGGGACCCCCACCUCCAUAUGAGGUUGCCAUCAAGACAACAUGUAGCUCUACACACCUGCGGCGUGCAUACUCAGACACACACCUGGCAUCAGAGCCCCUGUUUGGACAAUCAAGAGAGAUCAGCUUUGAGGUGUGAUGCCUGGGGACCCUGCUCAGACUAUACUGUAGUUUUCUUUUCAUAGUAACAAACUUUUUCACUCACUUGAAGCAUGGGUCUUUCUUGGUCUUAGCAUGCUUUCUGCAAGUUUCCUGUAAUUUAAAUUAUGUGAUGAUGCUACGGUUAAAUGCAUUAAGAGUAUAUGUAAAAGGGGCUGAAGGGAUGCCACACACUGGUUUGCAAAGUCCCAUUUUGAAGCCUCAACUUCAGCACAAUAAGCACAGAUAAUUUGCUUAAAAUGCUCCAAAAGGCACAAAACCACAUAGAGAGAUUUAGAUCAAUUGAGUGACUUGAAUUAUCAGAGCUGAAGCCAAACACCAAAGCGCCAUCUGCUCACCCCCACCCGCAAUAAUAAUGAUAACUUUAAGCCUUAACAUGUACAGCUGAUAUAAAGGUGAGAUUUAGAGAUGAAGAUCAAAACCAUCUGCUCUACCACGAUGAAAACAUAUUUACUUUUUCCUCUCAUGUUCUCAUUUUUCAUCAACGAGCAUUUCAACAUGGGGACCCCUCAGGUUUGGAGCCAGCCUUAUGUAGUCUUUAAAUGAACUUCCAUGUGGCUUCAUUUUUCAACCCAUGGUGUUGCCACUUGGUUAAAUUUCUAUCCAUCAUUGGAGGCUGGAGCUUAUUUCAGUGGUCUUGGGACAAGAGGUGGGGGUAACACAAAGAAACAGACAUCUCAUUAAAACUGAUAGUCACACCUUUUUGGAAUCGUUAAUUAAGCUAAGAUGCUUUCAUAGUCUUUGGACUGUGGGAGGAAACUGGAGUACCAGGAGAAAACUCACAAAGGGAGGCACAUGAAAAACAUGCACACUCUACACAGAAAGGCACCAGCUGGAUUCAAAACCAGGACCUUGUUGCUGUAAAGUAAAAUCUGAAUAACAGCACCAUUGUGCUGGUCUUGGUUAAAUGUAUAAGGUACCAAAUUCAUCUUUAUUUGACCAAAAUAAAGCACAAAGGCUUUUUAAACUAACACUGAUAUAUUUAUACACAAGAAAUUCAAUGCCAGGUCCUGUGGAUGUGAUGCAGGCAGUCACCCAUCUGUGCCUGGACUACCUAAAUGUCUGGAUCUUUUGCUGAGGAAUUGCAGUCUGCAGCUGCACAGUCGUCCAUGGUUGUGGCUGCCUCUGUUCAGCGUGUUCACCCAAAAGUGCCAAUAGUGCAUUUUGUUGAGUCAAAAUGUACAAAAAAGUAAUGAUUUUAUGAGAGGCUACAUGUUAGAUUAAACAUUAAAUUCUAGCCUUUAUGCUAAGCUUUUCCACACCAGAAACAUUAAGCGCUAUGGAGACUUAACGAAAAAGAAAACCUACAAAGUACUGGGAAUGCUGUAUUCAUCAUUUCUUUAAAUUUCUGUUUGACUGAUCUGGACAACUGGAUAAUCCUCCUCUGUGGGAUGGGGAUUGUGGCUUUCAAACAAUGCAGAUGUUCUCUGGGAAUAGCAGUCCUUCGGUUUAUGUGCCACACAUGUACUCAUCAGCUCGGUGAAGGCAGGGGAACGAUGACUCAUCUAACCAUAUGAGUUUUUCCACUGCUUGAUAGACCACUGCAGCUCACUGGCAAUGCUGCAUGAGUUUCAAGGGUUACAAAAUGACCUAUUGUGCCCGCACAGUUGCUGUCAUUAGAAGGAUACCUUUGUGCGUUUGCAUUUUUAAAACAUUUUAACAUGACUUCUGUUGUUGUAAUACAGUGCAACAUGGAAAUCAACUAUUAGAGGCCUUAAACGUAUUUCUCUUUAAGCAUGUGACAUUCAGGUGCUGUCUGGAAUCUACAACUUUAAAUAUUUGAGGAGUGGAUCAACCCAAAAAUGCCUUUAUAUGCUUUUAGUUUUUAAAAUAGAAUAAAAGUUAAACAAGGAAAUUAGGGAAAGGAGACUUUGCGGAAGAAGGACUUUUCAGGACAGUUCAAACUCGGAAGCAGAAAAGUACCCUUCUGAGUUUAUGACAUAUCAAUCAAAGAUAGUUAAAUAGACAAAACUAAGGUGUUAAUCAUGAUUAUGUUUGUGUCUUUUGUCUCUCCAAGUUCAUUUUCAUUCUAUCGUAAAAAUUUUUUUUAAAAAUCCCUGGAUUUUUUUUUCUGUUCUUGGUCAUCUGCCGCGUAUCAGACUGCUCGUCAUUUAUUCUUCACAGUUUAUUAUAUUAUAAACUACAGUGACAUAUGAGCAACUCUAAACUGAAAACCUGGCUUCAGCUUACAUGAGUCACAGGAUCAUGGUUGUCUCACCAUGUAGCUUGGAACUGUUUGUUUAGCUCUGAAUAUGCAUGUAUCUGCUAUGCGCUUGGAAAAGGCAACUCAAGAGAGAACUGUGCAGUGAUUUCAGUCUCUGUGAGAGUGUGAUUUCAACUUUUUUUAAUAAAAACCAAAAAAGCUGACAGUCUCAGAUGUUUCAUUGUUUCAUUAACCAGCAAAU
ensembl:lncRNA